rnacentral:tRNA from 1 species
GCUUGGGUAGCUCAGUUGGUAGAGCAUUCGAUUGAAGCUCGAAGGGUCGGCAGUUCGAGCCUGCCCCCAAGCA